CAGCGCUGCUGAGUCUCCUACUCUCCUGAGUAAACUUCACAGAUUCACAGAAGUGACAGAAAAAUUAUUAGAUUCAUCUAAAGAUCAAAGACAGUCUUGAAGAGAAAUACAAGAGCGGAUUGAUUUUCUGGGCUCGUGAAGAUCGGAGGAAUACAACAACGAAUUGAUUUUCUGGAUUGGAGUUCUAGUGAAAUCUUUAAAUUUUGGUUUGAGCAGUUUGGAUAAGUGGUUGUCCCCUAAAUCUGGAAGAAUACCAUUGCUCUUUUUUCCAGCCUCGGGAGAAGUAGCACCAAUCUACAAGUACACUACACUAGUACUGGAAUAUGUUGCAACACAGGAACGUGGUG